GGCGCAGCAGAAGUGGCCUGGAUGAAUCCGUGUCGGGCAGAGCUGUGAACUGUAUUUACCAAUCACUUCUGGGAUGAUUUUGUUACUAAUUUUAGAGAAAAUUAACAUCAGAACUCUGCAAAGCUAACUUGAGUGAAAGUUGAAGAAUUCUUUGUCUCAAUACGCUUCUCAUCUUGAGCCACUGUUCACCCUCCCUAGAAGAAUCAAGUGAGUUUCAAAUCAUCUUACUUACACUGACAUUCUGGGAAAGAAUUCAAGGAACCUCUAGAAAAAAUUUCAGCCAUAAAGAAUCAACAAGAGCUGCCCAACAAAGUAGAAUUAAGACAGGAAAGACUUUUUGCUGGGGAGAGAGAAGUUAAUAACUGCAGCCCUGGAGCCUGUUAGAGCUUCUUACACUCUUGCCUUUGAAGCAAACUUUAAGGAAAAAACUACCAGUGGUAAGUAAUAAUCUUUAGUAAAAGUAAUACGAC
rnacentral:lncRNA from 1 species